GACGUAGGGCGCGAGCGUUGUCCGGAUUUAUUGGGCGUAAAGAGCUCGUAGGCGGCUUGUCGCGUCGACUGUGAAAACCCGUGGCUCAACCAUGUGGUCUGCAGUCGAUACAGGCAGGCUAGAAUUCGGUAGGGGAGACUGGAAUUCCUGGUGUAGCGGUGAAAUGCGCAGAUAUCAGGAGGAACACCGGUGGCGAAGGCGGGUCUCUGGGCCGAUACUGACGCUGAGGAGCGAAAGCGUGGGGAGCGAACAGG
rnacentral:rRNA from 1 species